rnacentral:rRNA from 1 species
UUAAGUUAUUAAGGGCGCACGGUGGAUGCCUUGGCACUAGAAGCCGAUGAAGGACGUUACUAACGACGAUAUGCUUUGGGGAGCUGUAAGUAAGCUUUGAUCCAGAGAUUUCCGAAUGGGGAAACCCAGCAUGAGUUAUGUCAUGUUAUCGAUAUGUGAAUACAUAGCAUAUCAGAAGGCACACCCGGAGAACUGAAACAUCUUAGUACCCGGAGGAAGAGAAAGAAAAUUCGAUUCCCUUAGUAGCGGCGAGCGAAACGGGAAGAGCCCAAACCAAAAAGCUUGCUUGUUGGGGUUGUAGGACACUCUAUACGGAGUUACAAAGGACGACAUUAGACGAAUCAUCUGGAAAGAUGAAUCAAAGAAGGUAAUAAUCCUGUAGUCGAAAAUGUUGUCUCUCUUGAGUGGAUCCUGAGUACGACGGAGCACGUGAAAUUCCGUCGGAAUCUGGGAGGACCAUCUCCUAAGGCUAAAUACUCUCUAGUGACCGAUAGUGAACCAGUACCGUGAGGGAAAGGUGAAAAGCACCCCGGAAGGGGAGUGAAAUAGAACCUGAAACCGUGUGCUUACAAGUAGUCAGAGCCCGUUAAUGGGUGAUGGCGUGCCUUUUGUAGAAUGAACCGGCGAGUUACGAUUUGAUGCAAGGUUAAGCAGUAAAUGUGGAGCCGUAGCGAAAGCGAGUCUGAAUAGGGCGUUUAGUAUUUGGUCGUAGACCCGAAACCAGGUGAUCUACCCUUGGUCAGGUUGAAGUUCAGGUAACACUGAAUGGAGGACCGAACCGACUUACGUUGAAAAGUGAGCGGAUGAACUGAGGGUAGCGGAGAAAUUCCAAUCGAACCUGGAGAUAGCUGGUUCUCUCCGAAAUAGCUUUAGGGCUAGCCUCAAGUGAUGAUUAUUGGAGGUAGAGCACUGUUUGGACGAGGGGCCCCUCUCGGGUUACCGAAUUCAGACAAACUCCGAAUGCCAAUUAAUUUAACUUGGGAGUCAGAACAUGGGUGAUAAGGUCCGUGUUCGAAAGGGAAACAGCCCAGACCACCAGCUAAGGUCCCAAAAUAUAUGUUAAGUGGAAAAGGAUGUGGCGUUGCCCAGACAACUAGGAUGUUGGCUUAGAAGCAGCCAUCAUUUAAAGAGUGCGUAAUAGCUCACUAGUCGAGUGACACUGCGCCGAAAAUGUACCGGGGCUAAACAUAUUACCGAAGCUGUGGAUUGUCCUUUGGACAAUGGUAGGAGAGCGUUCUAAGGGCGUUGAAGCAUGAUCGUAAGGACAUGUGGAGCGCUUAGAAGUGAGAAUGCCGGUGUGAGUAGCGAAAGACGGGUGAGAAUCCCGUCCACCGAUUGACUAAGGUUUCCAGAGGAAGGCUCGUCCGCUCUGGGUUAGUCGGGUCCUAAGCUGAGGCCGACAGGCGUAGGCGAUGGAUAACAGGUUGAUAUUCCUGUACCACCUAUAAUCGUUUUAAUCGAUGGGGGGACGCAGUAGGAUAGGCGAAGCGUGCGAUUGGAUUGCACGUCUAAGCAGUAAGGCUGAGUAUUAGGCAAAUCCGGUACUCGUUAAGGCUGAGCUGUGAUGGGGAGAAGACAUUGAGUCUUCGAGUCGUUGAUUUCACACUGCCGAGAAAAGCCUCUAGAUAGAAAAUAGGUGCCCGUACCGCAAACCGACACAGGUAGUCAAGAUGAGAAUUCUAAGGUGAGCGAGCGAACUCUCGUUAAGGAACUCGGCAAAAUGACCCCGUAACUUCGGGAGAAGGGGUGCUCUUUAGGGUUAACGCCCAGAAGAGCCGCAGUGAAUAGGCCCAAGCGACUGUUUAUCAAAAACACAGGUCUCUGCUAAACCGUAAGGUGAUGUAUAGGGGCUGACGCCUGCCCGGUGCUGGAAGGUUAAGAGGAGUGGUUAGCUUCUGCGAAGCUACGAAUCGAAGCCCCAGUAAACGGCGGCCGUAACUAUAACGGUCCUAAGGUAGCGAAAUUCCUUGUCGGGUAAGUUCCGACCCGCACGAAAGGCGUAACGAUUUGGGCACUGUCUCAACGAGAGACUCGGUGAAAUCAUAGUACCUGUGAAGAUGCGGGUUACCCGCGACAGGACGGAAAGACCCCGUGGAGCUUUACUGUAGCCUGAUAUUGAAAUUCGGCACAGCUUGUACAGGAUAGGUAGGAGCCUUUGAAACGUGAGCGCUAGCUUACGUGGAGGCGCUGGUGGGAUACUACCCUAGCUGUGUUGGCUUUCUAACCCGCACCACUUAUCGUGGUGGGAGACAGUGUCAAGCGGGCAGUUUGACUGGGGCGGUCGCCUCCUAAAAGGUAACGGAGGCGCUCAAAGGUUCCCUCAGAAUGGUUGGAAAUCAUUCAUAGAGUGUAAAGGCAUAAGGGAGCUUGACUGCGAGACCUACAAGUCGAGCAGGGUCGAAAGACGGACUUAGUGAUCCGGUGGUUCCGCUUGGAAGGGCCAUCGCUCAACGGAUAAAAGCUACCCCGGGGAUAACAGGCUUAUCUCCCCCAAGAGUUCACAUCGACGGGGAGGUUUGGCACCUCGAUGUCGGCUCAUCGCAUCCUGGGGCUGUAGUCGGUCCCAAGGGUUGGGCUGUUCGCCCAUUAAAGCGGUACGCGAGCUGGUUUCAGAACGUCGUGAGACAGUUCGGUCCCUAUCCGUCGUGGGCGUAGGAAAUUUGAGAGGAGCUGUCCUUAGUACGAGAGGACCGGGAUGGACAUACCUCUGGUGUACCAGUUGUCGUGCCAACGGCAUAGCUGGGUAGCUAUGUGUGGACGGGAUAAGUGCUGAAAGCAUCUAAGCAUGAAGCCCCCCUCAAGAUGAGAUUUCCCAACUUCGGUUAUAAGAUCCCUCAAAGAUGAUGAGGUUAAUAGGUUCGAGGUGGAAGCAUGGUGACAUGUGGAGCUGACGAAUACUAAUCGAUCGAAGACUUAAUCAA